UACGAAGGGGGCUAGCGUUGCUCGGAAUCACUGGGCGUAAAGCGCACGUAGGCGGAUUGCUAAGUCAGGGGUGAAAUCCUGGAGCUCAACUCCAGAACUGCCCUUGAUACUGGCGGUCUCGAGUCCGGGAGAGGUGAGUGGAACUGCGAGUGUAGAGGUGAAAUUCGUAGAUAUUCGCAAGAACACCAGUGGCGAAGGCGGCUCACUGGCCCGGUAUACGUGACGCUGAGGUGCGAAAGCGUGGGGAGCAAACAGGG
rnacentral:rRNA from 1 species